rnacentral:rRNA from 1 species
CCUACGGGCGGCUGCAGUGAGGAAUAUUGGUCAAUGGCCGGAAGGCUGAAUCAGCCAAGCCGCGUGAAGGACGAAGGUGCCAAGCAUUGUAAACUUCUUUUGUCAAGGGACAAAAUCAGGCUCGAGAGCCUGACCGAGGGUACUUGAAGAAAAAGCAUCGGCUAACUCCGUGCCAGCCGCCGCGGUAAUACGGGGGAGGCGAGCGUUAUCCGGAUUGAUUUGGUUAAAGGGGUGCGUAGCCGGGCGGUUAAGUUAGCGGUAAAAGCCCGGGGCUCAACCCCGGCGAGCCGUUGAAACUGGCUGUCUUGAGAUGUCGAGAGGUAUGCAGAAUGCGCAGUGUAGCGGUGAAAUGCUUAGAUAUUGCGCAGAACUCCGAUUGCGAAGGCAGCAUACCGGCGGCGAUCUGACGCUGAGGCACGAAAGCGUGGGUAUCGAACAGGAUUAGAUACCCCAGUAGUC